GGUGGCGUAGCUCAUCUGGUUAGAGCGUGGGAUUCAUAACCCCAAGGUAGGUGGUUCAAGUCCACCCGCCACCA
rnacentral:tRNA from 2 species